AACAAGGUUUCCGUAGGUGAACCUGCGGAAGGAUCAUUACUGAGUACCGGGUCUCUCAGGCCCUUACUCCCACCCUUUGUGUACCUUACCACAUCUUCAGUUGCCUUGGCGGGACUUUCCCCCCUCGGACCCCCUAAAACCGGGUCCUUGGGCGGGUGCCCGCCAGGGGAACCCCCCAAAACUCUUUUGAAUUGGGUCGUCUGAGAACAAAACAUAAUAAAUUAAAACUUUCAACAACGGAUCUCUUGGUUCUGGCAUCGAUGAAGAACGCAGCGAAAUGCGAUAAGUAAUGUGAAUUGCAGAAUUCAGUGAAUCAUCGAAUCUUUGAACGCACAUUGCGCCCCUUGGUAUUCCGAGGGGCAUGCCUGUUCGAGCGUCAUUUCAACCCUCAAGCUUCUGCUUGGUAUUGGGCUCUCGUCCGCUAUACUGGACGUGCCUGAAACUCAUAGGCGGUUGUGCUCAGCUCCUUAGCGUAGUCAUUUCUUACCGCUCUGGAGGACUGGGUAUGGCCCGCCCGAGAACCCCCCAUAUUUCUCAAGGUUUGACCUCGGAUCAGGUAGGGAUACCCGCUGAACUUAAGCAUAU
rnacentral:rRNA from 1 species